AUUCCUAUUGACCAUUAUCUCCCUUUUCCAAAUGCAAACACAACUCAGUCUCUCUGAAAUUCAGACUGCAACUACUCUUCAACACCACGGGAUGCAUGUUGAGAUAAAAUCCGGAUCUGGGGCAGAUGGAAGAAAAAUACCGUUGGCCCUAAAAAGACAAGAGUCACCAGCAUGACGCUUUUUUUUUUUUUUUUUUUGAGACAGAGUCUCACUUUGUCGCCCAGGCUGGAGUGCAGUGGCAUGAUAUUGGCUCACUGCAACCUCCACCUCCCAGGUUGAAGCGAUUCUCCUGCCUCAACCUCCCAAGUAGCUGGGAUUACAGGCAUGCGCCAUGAUGCCCAGUUAAUUUUUGUAUUUUUAGUAGUGACAAAGUUGCACCAUGUUGGUCAGGCUGGCCUCAAGUAAUCCGCCCACCUCGGCCUCCCAAAGUGCUGGGAUUACAGGCGUGAGCACCACACCGAGUCCACCAUGAGGCUUUUAUAAGGAUGGACAGGCUACUGACUUCUGGGUGGGGAUUAAAGACAGGAUUCUGUGCCAUCCUGCCCCCAAAUCCCUCCUCUACAGACUGAGUCACUGUAUCUGAUUAAGCAGAAUGUGCAUUGUUGUGAAAUAGGUCCCAUGAAGGAUGCAAACAUUCCAGUUUUACACCUCAACUCCAAGUGCACACAAUCAAAACCACUGUAGAG
rnacentral:lncRNA from 1 species